CAUACCUUUGCUUUUGACAGGCCGUUUAAGUUACACCCUCACUUUAGUGUUUCGUAAUACUGCCUCAAAAAUUGUUUUUAUAUCAUCAUGUGCAUGUAAUGAAUGACAAGAAAGUAUCUUAGGAAAUAAAUUGCAUGCAGGUUGAAAAGAAAACCUACCUUGAAGAAGUUAGAAUCACAUUGAGUCUAGUGAUCUCUCAUAGCUGAAUUUAAGUAACGGGAACUUAGGCAAGAUGCUCUCUAGGGUAAAUACAGGUUGGCCCUCAUCCUCAGGGAAUUUUCAGGCUGGUGUCAGAGAUAGAUCCAUUAUUAAUAUUUAGCACAUGAGCCGGUAGUGACAGAUAUAAGCACUGAAACCUGAGUGCAGAGGAGUGAUCUAAACCAGGAUAGGUCAAAAUUAUAAAGAACCUAAACAACCAUUUGAUUCUGAGAUUUUGUGUUUUACAUAUCAAUUGAAUCCGUCACAACCAAAUUUUUAAAAAGGCAGGGGGGUUGGGGGAGAGGAAAAAAAGUUAAAAAAAAAUUAAAACUGGAAAUCUUUUGCCUCCAGACUCGCCCUCCUCCAGUCCUUUCUCCAUUGCCUCUCUGAGAUGUAAACCUGAUUAAAGCCAGCCUCACUGAGAAGGUCUAACUCCCCCUGCUGCCAUCCUCCCAUACCCUGGUGCCACCAACUUUCCAGCUUCACGUCCUGUUACUCUCCUCUAUUGUUCCAGCAUUCCAGCCAUCAUCAGACUUGACGCAUUUGCUAACGCCCACCUUCUAGCCUGUUCCUCCGCUCUUGGUGCUAUGCUAACCAUCUUUCCACACCCAUUUGAGGAUUUUCCCCUUGGUGAAGCUUCUUUUCCUCUCAAGAAAAGUUUGAUAGCCUAUGUCCAAGAUGCUCUCUCCGCCUUACUCAUUUGGAAGAACUCCAGUUUGCUAUUUAUUCCUUACUGGCCCUGAGCAGCAGAGAAGGCUAAACAAAAACCCACACCUAAGCUGAAGAUGCUCAACUUAAAUAUAUGACCGCUAUUUUCAAGUGAGCCUUGUUUCUCCCAUUAUCAGAGAUUACUACACACACCUUCUGUUUCCUGGAAACUUCAGUUACCCCUUUCCUCUUCUCACUCUUAGCUGAUAAAAUAACUAUCAGAAAAAGAACUACCCUGUCAGCCACCACCACGUCCACCAGCCUGCUGACAUCUCUGUGUUGCCUCUUUUUACAAUGCUUAACUGCAUCUACUCCCAGCUGAGACCAACCCCUUGAUGUGUGGGUUGAAUUUUGUGUUAGUGGACAGGCUCUCCAAAGAAAGAGAAAAAAUAGGAUAUACUCAUAGAUGUAGAUGUAGGAGAGGGGAAUAGAUGCCUCAGGGAAAUUGGCUCAUGUGGUUUAUGGAGGCUGAGGAGUCCCACCGUAAGUGACCUGCGCACUAGAGAGCUAGGGAAGCCGGUAGCAGGGCUCGGUCCAUGUCUGAAGGCCUCAGGACCAGGAAAGUUAAUGGUGUCAAUCUCAGUCUGAAACCAUAGGCCUGAGAACUAGGGGUGCUGCCUGUGCAAGUCCUGGAGUCCCAAGGCAAGAGAACCUGGAGUUCUGAUGUUGAAGGGCAGAAGAAAGGUGCCUCAGCUUCAAAAGAAAGAGAGAGAAAUUUUUCUUCUGGUGUCUAGGCCCUCACACUGGGUGUGGGUGAAUUUUUCUUAGUUCACUGAUUCAAAUGCCAGUCUCCCCUGUAAACACCCUCACAGACAAACACACAAAAUAGUGCUUUACCUCCUAUCUGGGUAUCCCUUAACUGAGUCAAGCUGGCACCUAAAAUUAUGGACCUUCAUGGACCUUGUUCACUUUCACCUGCUUGAGGACUUCAAUCUUGU
rnacentral:lncRNA from 13 species